rnacentral:rRNA from 1 species
UACGGAAGGCAGCAGUGGAGAAUAUUGCACAAUGGGCGCAAGCCUGAUGCAGCCAUGCCGCGUGUAUGAAGAAGGCCUUCGGGUUGUAAAGUACUUUCAGUCGUGAGGAAGGUGUUAAGGUUAAUAACCUUAGCAAUUGACGUUAGCGACAGAAGAAGCACCGGCUAACUCCGUGCCAGCAGCCGCGGUAAUACGGAGGGUGCGAGCGUUAAUCGGAAUUACUGGGCGUAAAGGGCACGCAGGCGGUUAAUUAAGUUGGAUGUGAAAUCCCCGGGCUUAACCUGGGAAUGGCAUUCAAGACUGGUUAGCUAGAGUCUUGUAGAGGGGGUAGAAUUCCAUGUGUAGCGGUGAAAUGCGUAGAGAUGUGGAGGAAUACCGGGUGGCGAAGGCGGCCCCUGGGACAAAGGACUGACGCUCAUGUGCGAAAGCGUGGGGAGCGAAACAGGGAUUAGAU